AUAUUUGGUGCUCUACUCUCCUAGGGAACUGGAAGGAACCUGCUCUCUCCUGGGUAUACUUUUCUAAUUUUAGAGUGCUAAAGAAGCUCUUCUCACAGGGACCCGAGUGAAUCCUUUCUCCUUGGAACAAAGGACAAGAAAAAAAGAAAGGACUUUACCGCAGAAGUAAGGAAGACUCAUUUUGUUGAGAGAUUAUUUUUAGGUUCAAGGAAAUGAAUUGAUAAUGACAGGAAGUUUAUAUUUUUACAUUGGAUUGACUAGCAGCACUUUUAUUUUUUCAGAGAAGGAGUCUCACUCUGUCUCAGGCUGGAGGGCAGUGGCCUGGCAGCACUUUUUGAAUACACUCGUGCACCACAUAAUAUUUCAAUGUCUGAUUACAUUAUGUGACUGUGGUCCCUUAAGAUUAUAAUGGAUAAUUCCUGUUGCUUAGUGAUGUUGUAACAUCGUAGUGCAACAUACUACCCUUUCUGUUUAGAAACACAAACACAACAUUGUGUUAUAGUUACCUACAUUAUUCAGUACAGUAAUAUGCUAUAAAAGUUUGUAGUCUAGAAUCAUAAGGCUAUAAUAUGUAGGUUUGUGUUAAGUAUACUUCAUGAUGUUUGCACAACAAUGAAAUUGCCUAAUGAGGCGUUUCUCAGAACGUAUCUCGUCGUUAGGCAACGCAUGACUGUAUUUUAUUUCUAACGCCAUAUUAUUUGAACUGUGGGUUCACCGAAUAUAACCUGUUUGACAAACUUGCAAAGAAACACAAUGAUGAAGAUCAUGUCUCCAAGUCUUUUCUGCCGUUGCCAGUAUUCUCUCCCAAUCUCCUGUGGGCAACUUCUUCGGGAAAACACUCAUGCAAUUUCAUAAGGACAAGCGAAAAUAUGAAGAAGCUGGAUCUUGGAACUAGGCUUUGAUCACAGAGCGGAGCUGAGAUGAAAGUCCAUCCACUCAUUCAACAAAUAAUUGAAUGCCACAUUUUGUUGGAACUCAGAGUUAUGAGUGGCCCUCGCCAUACCUACACUUUCUGACUGAGCUCCUCUCUACCCUGAAUACAAGAGACCCUAAUAGGCAGGAAUAUCAUCACCCCUCUUCAGCCUGAAGAUGUUACAGAAGAUGGAUAUUUGUCCGUUUACAACCCUUAAGAUUAAGGGUUCCCCUGUAAAAGGGAGGGGGAAAAUAUGUCAGAGAUGUUUGAACCAGAGCAACUUCGUCCUGAAUAGUGGCUCGGUAAAGUGAGGCUGACACCUAUGGACUGCAUUCCCAGGAGGUUAGGCAUUCUUAGUUACGGGAUGAAAUAGGAGUUUGGCACAAGAUGGGUCAUAAAGACCUUGCUGAUAAAAGGAUGUGGUACAGAAGCUGGCCAAAACUCACCAAAAUCAAGAUGUGAUGAAAGUGACUUCUGGUAGUCCUCACUCCUCAUUACACUAAUUAUAAUGCAUUAGCAUGCUAAAAGACACGUUCACCAGCACCAUUAUGGUUUACAAAUGCCAUGGCAAUAUCAGCAAGUUACCCUAUAUGGUCUUAAAAGGGGAGGAACCCUCAGUUCUGGGAAUUGCCCACCACUUUCCCAGGAAACUCAUGAAUAAUCCACCCUUUAUUUAGCAAAUAAUCAAGAAAUAACUAUAAGUAUAAUCAGUUGAGCAGCCCAUGCCACUGCUCUGCCUGUGGAAUAG
rnacentral:lncRNA from 1 species